AACGCUGGCGGCGUGCCUAACACAUGCAAGUCGAGCGCGAAAGGGGCUUCGGCCCUGAGUAGAGCGGCGGACGGGUGAGUAACACGUGGGCAACCUGCCCUCGGGUGGGGAAUAACCCAGGGAAACUUGGGCUAAUUCCACAUGACAUCCCGGGCCCACAAGGGUCCGGGAUCAAAGCUGGGGACCCUACGGGGCCUGGCGCCUGAGGAGGGGCCCGCGGCCGAUUAGCUAGUUGGUAGGGUAACGGCCUACCAAGGCGACGAUCGGUAGCCGGCCUGAGAGGGUGUACGGCCACACUGGGACUGAGAUACGGCCCAGACUCCUACGGGAGGCAGCAGUAGGGAAUAUUGGACAAUGGAGGAAACUCUGAUCCAGCAACGCCGCGUGGAGGAUGAAGUCUUUCGGGAUGUAAACUCCUGUCAGAGGGGAAGAAACUUUUGCGACCUAAUACGUCGCAGAAUCGACGGUACCCUCAGAGGAAGCACCGGCUAACUCCGUGCCAGCAGCCGCGGUAAUACGGGGGGUGCAAGCGUUGUUCGGAAUCACUGGGUGUAAAGGGCAGGUAGGCGGGCCGAUAAGUUGGAUGUGAAAACCCUGUGGCUUAACCCAGGGCUGGCAUCUGAAACUAUUGGUCUUGAGUACGGGAGAGGGAGAUGGAAUUCCUGGUGUAACGGUGAAAUGUGUAGAUAUCAGGAGGAACACCGGUGGCGAAGGCGGUCUCCUGGCCCGCUACUGACGCUGAGCUGCGAAAGCUAGGGGAGCAAACAGGAUUAGAUACCCUGGUAGUCCUAGCCGUAAACGUUGGUCACUAGGUGUUGAGCCCCUAAUAAGGGCCCAGUGCCGCAGCUAACGCAUUAAGUGACCCACCUGGGGACUACGGCCGCAAGGUUGAAACUCAAAGGAAUUGACGGGGGCCCGCACAAGCGGUGGAGUAUGUGGUUCAAUUCGACGCAACGCGAAGAACCUUACCUGGGUUUGACAUCCCGACGUAAGCCCAAGAGAUUGGGUCCUCUCGCAAGAGACGCCGGGACAGGUGCUGCAUGGCUGUCGUCAGCUCGUGCCGUGAGGUGUUGGGUUAAGUCCCGCAACGAGCGCAACCCCUGUUUCUAGUUGCCCUCUAGCCGUAAGGCUGGAGCACUCUAGAAAGACUGCCAGUUAUAAGCUGGAGGAAGGCGGGGAUGACGUCAAGUCCUCAUGGCCCUUAUGUCCAGGGCUACACACGUACUACAAUGGCCGGUACAAUAGGAUGCCAAGCCGCGAGGUGGAGCCAAUCCCCAAAACCGGCCUCAGUUCAGAUUGCAGUCUGCAAUUCGACUGCAUGAAGGUGGAAUCGCUAGUAAUCGCGGAUCACGCAGGUCGCGGUGAAUACGUUCCCGGGCCUUGUACACACC
rnacentral:rRNA from 1 species